rnacentral:lncRNA from 1 species
AACUUUGCUAUCUUAGAACGGAUCACCAGUGAAAGAGGGGAAGUUGCUACUGUGAUGAAUUCUGCCAUGUGGUACCAGACUGCUGCCCAGACCACAGUGUCCUCUGCAACCCUGCUUCUCAGAUGACCAAGAUGGUGCUGCCGAUGGUGUUGAGGACGGAGAACCCACCAAGCCCCGUUAGGAGCCACCUAGACUGGAUGCAGAGCACAGAGUUUUAUUUGCUUCCAAGAAGGAAGGCAAGAUUUCCUGGGUCCGUGAUGAUGGAAGGCUGACAACUCUUUUAUGGAUUUUGAGCUUGCUCCCAGUAGGGAAGACAAGUUCAAGUUUUUUUCCUGCUUCAAGGAUGGUGGAGAGCAGUCUUCAGCCUGAGACCCAUCCCUAGGCCUCAGCACCCGCAGAGCAGACACUGCGAUAACAACGGAGGACACAGAAGUGCCCGCUAUGACUCCAGCACCAGGCCACGCCGCUCUGGAAACUCAAACGCUGAGCGCUGAGACCUCUUCUAGGGCCUCAACCCCAGC